rnacentral:rRNA from 1 species
UACAGAGGGGGCAAGCGUUAUUCGGAAUUAUUGGGCGUAAAGGGCGCGUAGGCGGCCUGGCAAGUGGAAGGUGAAAUCCCUCGGCUUAACCGAGGAACUGCCCUCCAAACUGCUUUGCUUGAGGCCGGGAGAGGUGAGUGGAAUUCCCAGUGUAGCGGUGAAAUGCGUAGAUAUUGGGAGGAACACCAGUGGCGAAGGCGGCUCACUGGACCGGUUCUGACGCUGAUGCGCGAAAGCGUGGGGAGCAAACGGG